rnacentral:rRNA from 1 species
UGGGGAAUAUUGGACAAUGGGCGAAAGCCUGAUCCAGCAAUGCCGCGUGUGUGAAGAAGGCCUGCGGGUUGUAAAGCACUUUCAGUGGGGAAGAAAAGCUUGGUGUGAAUAGCGCCGAGUCUUGACGUUACCCACAGAAGAAGCACCGGCUAACUCCGUGCCAGCAGCCGCGGUAAUACGGAGGGUGCGAGCGUUAAUCGGAAUCACUGGGCGUAAAGCGCGCGUAGGCGGCUAAGUAAGUCGGGUGUGAAAGCCCUGGGCUUAACCCGGGAACUGCAUUCGAUACUGCUUAGCUGGAGUAUGGUAGAGGGAAGCGGAAUUCCGGGUGUAGCGGUGAAAUGCGUAGAGAUCCGGAGGAACACCAGUGGCGAAGGCGGCUUCCUGGACCAAUACUGACGCUGAGGUGCGAAAGCGUGGGGAGCAAACAGG